AUGGAGGUGGGCGAGGUGGACGAGGUCCAUGGGCGAGGCGGCCAUGGUGGGGAGGCAGGGCGUGGCCAACCCGUGGAGGACGGGCAAGGCGGCCAUGGUGGGGAGGCGGGGGGCGGCCAACCUAUUGACGACGGGCAAAGCGGCCAUGGUGGGGAGGUGGAGGGCGGCCAUGGUGGGGAGGCUGGCUGCGCGGCGGUCUCAGCGUUGCGUGGUAAAGGCGCAACACCGGAGCAAGGCCAAGUAUCACCCAAGGAUGCGGCUACAUCGGCUUCUCUAGAUGGGAUGGAUCAAAAUUCAACUUAUGUGCUGAAAAUCAGUUUGCUUGGGAACCCAAAAAAGGCUAGAAAGGAUAUCAAAUGCUUCUAUUUUGAUAAGGUUAUUGAUUCCGACUUAACAAAUUAUAAGGACUUGGUUGAAUCAAUCAUAGAGCAGUACUCGCCUAGUUAUUUGGAAGUUGCACAUGUUCAGUACUAUGAUGAUUUUCUUAAAAUCUACCCUGAAGUAACAUCUGACCAAGAAUUGAUGUUGAUGUUUGAGAAACACUCUAAGACAAAGGUUGUGCACAUGUUUGUUGCAUAUUGUGAUCCAUCGGAACCAUAUGAGCCUAUAACGGAGUGGCAUAGUGAUGCGCAUAGCCAACCUAACAACAUAGAACAAGAUGAUGAUGAUUAUCUUCGCAACCCAGUACCUGAGAAUGAGCAUGUUGGUGUUGAUGAGGAAAAUAUUUAUUUAGAGGAUGAACUUGUACCUCUUAUCAUGGUUCCUUGUUCCAAUAAAGGAAAGGACAAGACUAUGUUCCUGAUCAUGACAGCGAGGCUGAGAGCGAGGUUGAGAGCGAGGAUGAGAGUGAGGAUGAGAGCAUGUCAGAGGUUGAAGUAG
rnacentral:rRNA from 1 species